rnacentral:rRNA from 1 species
CGUAGGGGGCGAGCGUUGUCCGGAUUUAUUGGGCGUAAAACGCUUGUAGGCGGCCACAUCGCGUCGUGCGUGAAAUCUCCCGGCUCAACUGGGAGGGGUCGUGCGAUACGGAUGGGCUCGAGGCCGGUAGGGGGACGCGGAAUUCCCGGUGUAGUGGUGGAAUGCGUAGAUAUCGGGAGGAACACCAGUGGCGCAGGCGGCGUCCUGGACCGGCACUGACGCUGAGGAGCGAAAGCGUGGGGAGCGAUCCGGAUUAGAUACCCGGGUAGUCCACGCCGUAAACGGUGCGCACUAGGUGUCGGGGGUAUCGACCCCUCCGGUGCCGCAGCUAACGCAUUAAGUGCGCUGCCUGGGGAGUACGGCCGCAAGGCUA